rnacentral:rRNA from 1 species
CUGUGCCUACGGGAGGCAGCAGUGAGGAAUAUUGGUCAAUGGGCGGUAGCCUGAACCAGCCAAGUAGCGUGAAGGAUGAAGGUUCUAUGGAUUGUAAACUUCUUUUAUAAAGGAAUAAAGUGAGGCACGUGUGCCUUUUUGUAUGUACUUUAUGAAUAAGGAUCGGCUAACUCCGUGCCAGCAGCCGCGGUAAUACGGAGGAUCCGAGCGUUAUCCGGAUUUAUUGGGUUUAAAGGGAGCGUAGGUGGAUUGUUAAGUCAGUUGUGAAAGUUUGCGGCUCAACCGUAAAAUUGCAGUUGAAACUG